CUUCUCAUUAGUGGUUGAAAGGAAGUGACGUGUCAGGGGCAGGCUCUUAACCGAGUGGUGCAGAUUUGUUGGGGGCGUCACCUAGAGACUGUGUUAGCCGCUAGAUUUGUAGGGGGAAAAGCCUGGAGAUGCUGAUCUUGUUACUAUGGAUGCUGGAAACUUUAGCUAGGGGCUUAACCACAGAAUUAUGCUCUGAGAGUAAAACAUGGAAGGGGAUACUUACAACAAUGUAAUUGACAUGUUUUUUGAUGCAGAAAAUAUCCUCUUCUAGAGAAAGGGAAGCAAAAUCAAAGAGGUGUUGUGACCUGUCUGAAGUCACAGGGAAAAUGCCAGCAAAUCCCGUGUCAAACACACAACCAAGCCCACUACACACUUAAGCACUUGUGAGCAAUAUCUGCCCAAUCUUACUUGUCGAAAGUCUCUGCCUCUUUCAAGUCUCCUCUGAACAACCGAAGCAUUUCCCAAUUUCAUUCUGCUUCUCCAUACACAUUGUUUGGGAUUUUCACAUAUUAAACAAGUCACAUGAAACUGUCAAUUGUAGGAGAAACGUGUGA